AUUGAACGCUGGCGGCAUGCCUAACACAUGCAAGUCGAACGGCAGCACAGGCAGCGUGCUCGCUUGGCGUUGGCGACGGGCGGGUGAGUAAUACGUACGUAACCAGCCUAUAAGGCUAGCAUGACGACGGGCGGACUGAUACCCUACAGGAUCAUAGGUAGAACGGGGGGGAUCGAAAGUGCUAGCGGUUUUUGCUCUGCCUAAGAGAGGGUACCGCGUCGGAUUAGCUAGUUGGUAAGGUAACGGCUUACCAAGGCGACGAUGCGUAGCCGACCUGAGAGGAUGAUCAGCCACACUGGAACUGAGACACGGUCCAGACUCCUACGGGAGGCAGCAGUGGGGAAUCUUGGACAAUGGGCGAAAGCCUGAUCCAGCCACGCCGCGUGAGUGAAGAAGGCCUUCGGGUUGUAAACCGCUUUUGUUAGGGAAGAAAACCUGUGGGCUAAUACCCCGGCGUCAUGACGGUACCGAAAGAAUAAGCACCGGCUAACUACGUG
rnacentral:rRNA from 1 species